rnacentral:rRNA from 1 species
UACGUAGGGGGCGAGCGUUGUCCGGAUUUAUUGGGCGUAAAGAGCUCGUAGGCGGCUUAGCAAGUCGGGUGUGAAAACUCCAGGCUCAACCUGGAGACGCCACUCGAGACUGCUAUGGCUAGAGUCCGGUAGGGGACCACGGAAUUCCUGGUGUAGCGGCGAAAUGCGCAGAUAUCAGGAGGAACACCGGUGGCGAAGGCGGUGGUCUGGGCCGGCACUGACGCUGAGGAGCGAAAGCGUGGGGAGCAAACAGG